rnacentral:rRNA from 1 species
AGCGAACGCUGGCGGCAGGCUUAACACAUGCAAGUCGAGCGGGCAUCCUCGUGGUGUCAGCGACAGACGGGUGAGUAACGCGUGGGAACGUGCCCUUCGGUUCGGAAUAACUCAGGGAAACUUGAGCUAAUACCGGAUACGUGCGAGAGCAGAAAGGUUUAUCUGCCGAAGGAUCUGGCCGCGUUUGAUUAGCUAGUUGGUGAGGUUAUGGCUCACCAAGGCGACGAUCAGUAGCUGGUCGGAGAGGAUGAUCAGCUGCGCUGGGACUGAGACACGGCCCAAUCUCCUACGGGAGGCAGCAGAGGGGGAUAUUAGGCAAUGGGGGCAACUCUGAACCAGCCAUGCCGCGUGAGAGAUGACGGCCUUAGGGUUGUAAAGCUCUUUUCGUCGGGACGAGAAUGACGUUACCGGAGGAAUAAGCCCCGGCUAACUACGUG